GGGGGGAUUACCAAAAGGACCGAUGACAAAUCCUUGGUCCACUUCCAAUUGUAGCAAGUUAGUGACUGCAGUAGGAUUAUUAGUGGCUGACUGCAAAUUGUGACAUUCUAACACCCCUGUUGGCAUGUAAAUGAGCCCUGUGUGAAACCCGUGGGUGAGACCUGUGCAUAAAAAUUCCACCAGGUGUUUAGAGGGGUGAGUGGACAGCAUGUGUUCAAGUACAGGAACGUUCACUGGAGACAAA